CCUACGGGAGGCAGCAGUGAGGAAUAUUGGUCAAUGGGCGAGAGCCUGAACCAGCCAAGUCGCGUGAGGGAGUACUGCCCUAUGGGUUGUAAACCUCUUUUGUCGGGGAGCAAAAGCCGGACGUGUCCGGCUGUGAGAGUACCCGAAGAAAAAGCAUCGGCUAACUCCGUGCCAGCAGCCGCGGUAAUACGGAGGAUUCGAGCGUUAUCCGGAUUUAUUGGGUUUAAGGGGUGCGAAGGCGGAUUUUUAAGUCAGCGGUAAAAUCGUGGGGCUCAACCCCAUCCAGCCGUUGAAACUGGGGAUCUAGAGUGUGCGAGAGGUAUGCGGAAUGCGUGGUGUAGCGGUGAAAUGCAUAGAUAUCACGCAGAACCCCGAUUGCGAAGGCAGCAUACCGGUGCACAACUGACGCUCAGGCACGAAAGCGUGGGUAUCGAACAGGAUUAGAUACCCCGGUAGUC
rnacentral:rRNA from 1 species